GACGUAGGGCGCGAGCGUUGUCCGGAUUUAUUGGGCGUAAAGAGCUCGUAGGCGGCUUGUCGCGUCGACUGUGAAAACCCGCGGCUCAACUGCGGGCCUGCAGCCGAUACGGGCAGGCUAGAGUUCGGUAGGGGAGACUGGAAUCCUGGUGUAGCGGUGAAAUGCGCAGAUAUCGAGAGGAACACCUGCGGCGAAGGCGGGUUGCUGGGCUGACACUGACGCUGAAGUGCGAAAGCGUGGGGAGCGAACAGG
rnacentral:rRNA from 1 species